rnacentral:snoRNA from 1 species
AUCCUUUUGUAGUUCAUAAGCGUGAUGAUUGGGUUUUCAUGCACAUGCGUGAGAUAUGCCUCCCUCAAACCUUGUGACGACAUCAGCACCUUACCAGUCUGAUG